AUUUAACCCCGAUUGAAGCAAACUACCGCGUAGUGCGAAAAGCGGGAAUAUGG
rnacentral:sRNA from 1 species